rnacentral:rRNA from 1 species
AACGAACGCUGGCGGCAUGCCUAACACAUGCAAGUCGAACGGGAUCCUAGCUUGCUAGGUGAGAGUGGCGGACGGGUGAGUAACACGUGGGAAUCUGCCUUUUGGUUCGGGAUAACCGCGGGAAACUGCGGCUAAUACCGAAUGCCCUCGAGAGAGGAAAGAUUUAUCGCUAGAAGAGGAGCUUGCGUCCGAUUAGGUAGUUGGUGGGGUAAAGGCCUACCAAGCCGACGAUCGGUAGCUGGUCUGAGAGGAUGAUCAGCCACACUGGGACUGAGAUACGGCCCAGACUCCUACGGGAGGCAGCAGUGGGGAAUAUUGGACAAUGGGGGCAACCCUGAUCCAGCAAUGCCGCGUGAGUGAUGAAGGCCUUAGGGUUGUAAAGCUCUUUUGCCAGGGAAGAUGAUGACUGUACCUGGAGAAUAAGCCCCGGCUAACUUCGUGCCAGCAGCCGCGGUAAU